UGCAGUCGAGCGGCAGUUGAGUAGCAAUACUUGACCUAGAGCGGCGCACGGGUGCGUUACGCGUAUGCAACCUACCUUAUACUGGGGGAUAGCCCGUAGAAAUGCGGAUUAAUACCCCAUGGUAUUGAGUGAUGGCAUCGUCAUUCAAUUAAAGAUUUAUCGGUAUGAGAUGGGCAUGCGUAGGAUUAGCUAGUUGGUAAGGUAACGGCUUACCAAGGCUACGAUCCUUAGGGGUUCUGAGAGGAAGGUCCCCCACACUGGCACUGAGAUACGGGCCAGACUCCUACGGGAGGCAGCAGUAGGGAAUAUUGGGCAAUGGUCGGAAGACUGACCCAGCCAUGCCGCGUGCAGGAAGACGGCCCUCUGGGUUGUAAACUGCUUUUAUCAGGGAAGAAAAGGGCCAUGCGUGGCAAAUUGCCGGUACCUGAUGAAUAAGCACCGGCUAACUCCGUGCCAGCAGCCGCGGUAAUACGGAGGGUGCGAGCGUUGUCCGGAUUUAUUGGGUUUAAAGGGUGCGUAGGCGGCUGCUUAAGUCAGUGGUAAAAGGCACGGGCUCAACCCGAUGUAAGCCAUUGAUACUGGGCAGCUUGAGUUUUCUGAGAGUACAUGGAAUUGAUGGUGUAGCGGUGAAAUGCAUAGAUACCAUCAGGAACACCGAUAGCGAAGGCAUUGUACUUUGGAGCGACUGACG
rnacentral:rRNA from 1 species